rnacentral:rRNA from 1 species
UACGUAGGGUGCGAGCGUUGUCCGGAAUUAUUGGGCGUAAAGAGCUCGUAGGCGGCUUGUCACGUCGGAUGUGAAAGCCCCGGGGCUUAACCCCGGGUCUGCAUUCGAUACGGGCUAGCUAGAGUGUGGUAGGGGAGAUCGGAAUUCCUGGUGUAGCGGUGAAAUGCGCAGAUAUCAGGAGGAACACCGGUGGCGAAGGCGGAUCUCUGGGCCAUUACUGACGCUGAGGAGCGAAAGCGUGGGGAGCGAACAGG